AAGACUUUUGUGGCUGCUUAUUUCCUAUGCAGAAAUUGUGAAGCUACACGGGAAAGGAGAACUUGAACCUUUGCUGGCAGAAAUCAAAAAUAAAAAGGCAUAAAGCUAGCUUGCUGAGCAAAUUUUUGUUUAAAGAUUUCAAUGGCCUUGCAAUAUGACUCCGAACUUGCACAUUUGUAGCUUUAUGUUUCAUAUAAGAAUGCACUGGGUAAAUUGCUUCCAUGGCCACUACUUCAAGCCUUUUCACUUCCACUACUUUCUGUUGUUAUUGUGUUGCUGCAAACUUAUGAAAUUCAAGAAAGAAGACAAGCAGCUUUAGGAAACUGAGGCAUUUAUGUGGAGAUCAACUUUCUUAAAAAUAGUGUUCGACUGGAAUUAAUCAAAAAUAGAUAUAGGAUUUCAAUUUACAAUGCUCGCCAGCCAAUGAAACAGAGGUGCAUUUUUUGAAUGUUAUGUUAUUUUUUUUUACCCUUGAAGUAGUAUCAUUUGUCAUUUCUGUUGAUAUUACUAGCAGUAUUCUACCCAUAUUUCUUUAUGUUAAUUUUUAAAUGUUUGGAUUGGAACCAUAUACAACUUUCUUAAUCUCUCUAUUUUUCUUUGUUGCCAACCAUAAGCAAGAACAAGUGCCCUACCAGCUAUC